CAGCCGCCACGGUAAAACGUAGGUGGCAAGCGUUGUCCGGAAUUAUUGGGCGUAAAGGGCUCGCAGGCGGUUUCUUAAGUCUGAUGUGAAAGCCCCCGGCUCAACCGGGGAGGGUCAUUGGAAACUGGGAAACUUGAGUGCAGAAGAGGAGAGCGGAAUUCCACGUGUAGCGGUGAAAUGCGUAGAGAUGUGGAGGAACACCAGUGGCGAAGGCGACUCUCUGGUCUGUAACUGACGCUGAGGAGCGAAAGCGUGGGGAGCGAACAGGAUUAGAUACCCCUGUAGUCCCUGUCUCUUAUAC
rnacentral:rRNA from 1 species